GGAUGGUUGUGAGCCACCAUGUGGUUGCUGGGAUUUGAACUCAGGACCUUCGGAAGAGCAGUCGGGUGUUCUUACCUGCUGAGCCAUCUCACCAGCCCACCCCUCCAAAUCUUACACUCAAGAUUAUAGCCUCCUUUGGACUAACAGCUUCACUUCAAGGAUACAUCUCAUCUGAAAACUCCUGCACCAGGUAACCUAAGCUACAGAAUGCUGUUUCCUUGUGAAAACAAUUUAUUAGGCCCCGUGGAACCAAUAUCCUGGAGUUGUAGAGGAGAAAAAUAAAUUCUUGCCUCAUAUUUCCUCACCUGAAACAUGGAACGCAACGUUGUAAUUUCGAGGCCUGGGUUUUAUGUGAAGGUCGUCUUUAAGGGAUACAGCCAUAACAAUUUGGGCUGCAUAGCAGACGCUUUUAAGACUAUGCAAGUAUUUAUUAAGAAGUGUGCUUUCUAAAUCAACAAAGGAACUGAGUGGGACCUAAAGAUUCCUCUCCAGGAAGGUACCUUUGUCUCAAUGAUAGCUGGGACAUCGAGCCUCUAUGUUCUGGAAGAGUCUCUGUGUCAGAUGGCCGGCUUAAUGGCCUUCCCAUUUCCAUCACUAACCAUGUUGACAGCCUACCUUUUCCAACUGAUAUGCUGGCAUUGUAAUUUAUCUUCAAAAAAAUAAAUCAC
rnacentral:lncRNA from 1 species